rnacentral:rRNA from 1 species
AGAGUUUGAUCCUGGCUCAGGACGAACGCUGGCGGUAUGCUUAACACAUGCAAGUCGAACGAGAUCCCUUUUUCAUGCUCUCCGAGCAAGGAAAAGAAGAUUGCAGUGGCGGACGGGUGAGGAACACGUAAGAACUUACCUUUUGGCGGGGGAUAACAGCGGGAAACUGCUGCUAAUACCCCAUAAUGCUGAGGAGCUAAAAGUGAAAACUGCCAAGAGAGAGGCUUGCGUCUGAUUAGCUAGUUGGGGGGGUAAUGGCUUCCCAAGGCGACGAUCAGUAGCUGGUCUGAGAGGAUGAUCAGCCACACUGGGACUGAGACACGGCCCAGACUCCUACGGGAGGCAGCAGUGGGGAAUUUUCCACAAUGGGCGAAAGCCUGAUGGAGCAAUACCGCGUGGGUGAAGACGGUUCGUGGACUGUAAAGCCCUUUUCUUAAGGAAGAAUGAAUGACGGUACUUAAGGAAUAAGCACCGGCUAACUCUGUGCCAGCAGCCGCGGUAAUAC